rnacentral:rRNA from 1 species
UACGUAGGGUGCAAGCGUUAAUCGGAAUUACUGGGCGUAAAGUGUGCGCAGGCGGUCUUGCAAGACAGGUGUGAAAUCCCCGGGCUUAACCUGGGAACUGCAUUUGUGACUGCAAGGCUGGAGUACGGUAGAGGGGGAUGGAAUUCCGCGUGUAGCAGUGAAAUGCGUAGAUAUGCGGAGGAACACCGAUGGCGAAGGCAAUCCCCUGGACCUGUACUGACGCUCAUGCACGAAAGCGUGGGGAGCAAACAGG